rnacentral:rRNA from 1 species
ACAUCCAGAGAAUUUAGCAGAGAUGCUUUAGUGCCUUCGGGAACUCUGAGACAGGUGCUGCAUGGCUGUCGUCAGCUCGUGUUGUGAAAUGUUGGGUUAAGUCCCGNAACGAGCGCAACCCUUAUCCUUUGUUGCCAGCACGUAAUGGUGGGAACUCAAAGGAGACUGCCGGUGAUAAACCGGAGGAAGGUGGGGAUGACGUCAAGUCAUCAUGGCCCUUACGAGUAGGGCUACACACGUGCUACAAUGGCGCAUACAAAGAGAAGCAACCUCGCGAGAGCAAGCGGACCUCAUAAAGUGCGUCGUAGUCCGGAUUGGAGUCUGCAACUCGACUCCAUGAAGUCGGAAUCGCUAGUAAUCGUAAAUCAGAAUGUUACGGUGAAUACGUUCCCGGGCCUUGUACACACCGCCCGUCACACCAUGGGAGUGGGUUGCAAAAGAAGUAGAUAGCUUAACCUUCGGGAGGGCGUUUACCACUUUGUGAUUCAUGACUGGGGUGAAGUCGUAACAAGGUAGGCGUAGCGAG